rnacentral:rRNA from 1 species
GUGUCAGCAGCCGCGGUAAUACGAAGGGACCUAGCGUAGUUCGGAAUUACUGGGCUUAGAGAGUUCGUAGGUGGUUAAAAAAGUUGGUGGUGAAAUCCCAGAGCUUAACUCUGGAACUGCCAUCAAAACUUUUUAGCUAGAGUAUGAUAGAGGAAAGCAGAAUUUCUAGUGUAGAGGUGAAAUUCGUAGAUAUUAGAAAGAAUACCAAUUGCGAAGGCAGCUUUCUGGAUCAUUACUGACACUGAGGAACGAAAGCAUGGGUAGCGAAGAGGAUUAGAUACCCUCGUAGUCCAUGCCGUAAACGAUGUGUGUUAGACGUUGGAAAUUUAUUUUCAGUGUCGCAGCGAAAGCAAUAAACACACCGCCUGGGGAGUACGACCGCAAGGUUAAAACUCAAAUGAAUUGACGGGGACCCGCACAAGUAGUGGAGCAUGUGGUUUAGUUCGAAGAUACGCGCAGAACCUUACCAACACUUGACAUGUUCGUCGCGACUUUAAGAGAUUAAAGUUUUCGGUUCGGCCGGACGAAACACAGGUGCUGCAUGGCUGUCGUCAGCUCGUGUCGUGAGAUGUUGGGUUAAGUCCCGCAACGAGCGCAACCCUUACUUUUAGUUGCCAUCAUUUAGUUGGGCACUCUGAAAGAACUGCCAGUGAUAAGCUGGAGGAAGGUGGGGAUGACGUCAAGUCCUCAUGGCCCUUACGUGUUGGGCUACACACGUGCUACAAUGGCAUUUACAAUAGGAGGCAAAACGGCGACGUUAAGCAAAUCCUAAAAAAAUGCCUCAGUUCGGAUUGUACUCUGCAACUCGAGUACAUGAAGCUGGAAUUACUAGUAAUCGCGGAUCAGCGCGCCGCGGUGAAUACGUUCCCGGGUCUUGCACACACCGCCCGUC